rnacentral:rRNA from 1 species
UGCCUGAUGGAGGAGGAUAACUACUGCAAACAGGAGAGUCUUAAUUACCGCAUAACGAUCGCAACGACCAAAGAGGGGGACCUUCGGGCCUCUUGCCACCAGAAGUGCCCAGAUGGGAUUAGCUAGUAGGUGGGGUAACGGCUCACCUAAGCGACGAUCCCUAGCUGGUCUGAGAGGAUGACCAGCCACACUGGAACUGAGACACGGUCCAGACUCCUACGGGAGGCAGCAGUGGGGAAUAUUGCACAAUGGGCGCAAGCCUGAUGCAGCCAUGCCGCGUGUAUGAAGAAGGCCUUCCGGUUGUAAAGUACUUUCGGCGGGGAGGAAGGCGAUAAGGUUAAUAACCUUGUCGAUUGACGUUACCCGCAGAAGAAGCACCGGCUAACUCCGUGCCAGCAGCCGCGGUAAUACCGAGGGUGCAAGCGUUAAUCGGAAUUACUGGGCGUAAAGCGCACGCAGGCGGUCCGUCAAGUCGGAUGUGAAAUCCCCGGGCUCAACCUGGGAACUGUAUUCGAAAACUGGCCAGGCUAGAGUCUUGUAUAGGGGGGGAGAAUUCCAGGUGU